rnacentral:rRNA from 1 species
GAUAAGCCUGGGAAACCGGGUCUAAUACCGGAUGCGACCUCUCACCGCAUGGUGGGGGGUGGAAAGAUUUAUCGGUCUUGGAUGGACUCGCGGCCUAUCAGCUUGUUGGUGGGGUAAUGGCCCACCAAGGCGACGACGGGUAGCCGGCCUGAGAGGGUGACCGGCCACACUGGGACUGAGACACGGCCCAGACUCCUACGGGAGGCAGCAGUGGGGAAUAUUGCACAAUGGGCGCAAGCCUGAUGCAGCGACGCCGCGUGAGGGAUGACGGCCUUCGGGUUGUAAACCUCUUUCAGUAGGGAAGAAGCGAAAGUGACGGUACCUGCAGAAGAAGCGCCGGCUAACUACGUGCCAGCAGCCGCGGUAAUACGUAGGGCGCGAGCGUUAUCCGGAAUUAUUGGGCGUAAAGAGCUCGUAGGCGGUUUGUCGCGUCUGCCGUGAAAGUCCGGGGCUUAACCCCGGAUCUGCGGUGGGUACGGGCAGACUGGAGUGCAGUAGGGGAGACUGGAAUUCCUGGUGUAGCGGUGAAAUGCGCAGAUAUCAGGAGGAACACCGAUGGCGAAGGCAGGUCUCUGGGCUGUUACUGACGCUGAGGAGCGAAAGCAUGGGGAGCGAACAGGAUUAGAUACCCUGGUAGUCCAUGCCGUAAACGUUGGGCACUAGGUGUGGGGGCCAUUCCACGGUUUCCGCGCCGCAGCUAACGCAUUAAGUGCCCCGCCUGGGGAGUACGGCCGCAAGGCUAAAACUCAAAGGAAUUGACGGGGGCCCGCACAAGCGGCGGAGCAUGCGGAUUAAUUCGAUGCAACGCGAAGAACCUUACCAAGGCUUGACAUGUUCUCGACCGCCACAGAGAUGUGGUUUCCCCUUUGGGGCGGGUUCACAGGUGGUGCAUGGUUGUCGUCAGCUCGUGUCGUGAGAUGUUGGGUUAAGUCCCGCAACGAGCGCAACCCUCGUUCCAUGUUGCCAGCGGGUUAUGCCGGGGACUCAUGGGAGACUGCCGGGGUCAACUCGGAGGAAGGUGGGGACGACGUCAAAUCAUCAUGCCCCUUAUGUCUUGGGCUUCACGCAUGCUACAAUGGCCGGUACAAUGGGUUGCGAUACUGUGAGGUGGAGCUAAUCCCAAAAAGCCGGUCUCAGUUCGGAUUGGGGUCUGCAACUCGACCCCAUGAAGUCGGAGUCGCUAGUAAUCGCAGAUCAGCAACGCUGC